AACGAACGCUGGCGGCAGGCCUAACAUAUGCAAGUCGAACGCCCCGCAAGGGGAGUGGCAGACGGGUGAGUAACACGUGGGAACCUUCCCAACAGUACGGAAUAGCCCAGGGAAACUUGGAGUAAUACCGUAUAUUCCCGAGAGGGGAAAGAUUUAUCGCUGUUGGAUGGGCCCGCGUCGGAUUAGCUAGUUGGUGAGGUAACGGCUCACCAAGGCGACGAUCCGUAGCUGGUUUGAGAGAAUGACCAGCCACACUGGGACUGAGACACGGCCCAGACUCCUACGGGAGGCAGCAGUGGGGAAUCUUGGACAAUGGGCGCAAGCCUGAUCCAGCCAUGCCGCGUGAGUGACGAAGGCCUUAGGGUUGUAAAGCUCUUUUGCCGGGGACGAUAAUGACGGUACCCGGAGAAUAAGUCCCGGCUAACUUCGUGCCAGCAGCCGCGGUAAAAC
rnacentral:rRNA from 1 species